CAGACCUUUCUUCUUCACGAAGUAGACCACGCGUCGAGCAGCUUCUGUGCACUGCGAGUGACUCACCCUUCUCCGUUUCUUCCUCCGUUUGGCCGGCCGUUUUUGCAGUAGGCUUGGUGGACAUGCAGAAGGGCCACGCCUCCAACGCCGUUGCUGGCUUGCUGCAGAUCAACCGACUAUUGAAGUUCUCUCCUCUCUUCUUUAUAUUGCCGAGUUCAUCCUCCUGUUUUCCCCUUUCUCUGUCCUGAAGCCACCCAAGAUCUUUUCUGACCACACUUUCAAUCCCUCCCAAAUCUGAGAGCACUUCAUCGAGUAUUUCGCCGGGAACGCGAGCGGCGUCCAAGCAUUGGCAACCAUGCCCGACGCGGCUUCGGCGAGCUUUCUUUUCUUCUCCGGUUCGUGAAGCCAAGGCCGUCAUCUUCCCCAACACCGGCAAGAACUCCGGCGAGCCUCCCUUCCACCGAUUCCGGACACCAUUACUCCAGCUGACCACUGCAAGAGCUUCAGGAGUCCGGCAACGAGGGUUAUUCGGAAGGUGAUAAGCAGCAGUACCAGGAGCUUGAACAGCAAGGCAAACAUCAGCUUGUGAGCCUAGUAUAGGCGAGUUCUUCGAUGUUGAGUGUGACGUCUAGUUUGCUGGGUUUUCUUUGGUCAGCUUGGCCUGCGGGUUAUGUGGCUUUUGUGAGAUGGCGGUGGUAACCAUCUCAAGGGUUUUACUUAUGUUUCCGCUGCUGUUGGUGUUGGCUUUUAGGCCACUUGAUGUAUCUACUAUCUAUUUUCUCUUGUAUGAGAUGUGAACUAUGUAUCUAUAACUCCCUUUUUUAGUGUUCAUGUUGUGAUACCAUAUUUGUUUAAGCACGUCAUGCACAAUGUGUGUAUGAUCCUGGAGUGCAUGACGUGUAUUUGAGUGUUUGGACUUCUCUUGUAUGUGCAAAGUCGGAACUGCUAGUUAUCGCCUCCACUUGUGGUAUUCUUAUACCGAGUGGAUGGUCGGAUCCCAAGGCAGUGGCUUGUUCAAAGACUCAUCUUGUACCUACAAUAGAAGGUCAUUCUCUCGAACAAAGGGACUUGAGACUUAUUUCAACUCUUGGGAGAUUACAACCCCUUAUUUCGGUUUUACUCCAACUGUGAGUCAUACUAGUUGCGUAUGUAGAGUUGGGUAAGUGAGAGUCAUGGACCGUUGUGAGUCAUACGUCGUUGGCGUAUGUGGAACGGGUUUUACUUGCACUUAACGACAUACGAGCGGCGUCUCGGUGUAGGUCAUCGAACUCGGUUCAUUGCAUCUCUCAGUUGUUGGUUUAAGUUCCAGGACCUGACAAUUGUGGCCUUGCCGAGGUGCGUGGUUGGACACGGGGUACUGGUCUCUGCAUUAAGGAUGGCGUGGGCACGAUGCUACUGCACGUCCCAUUAAAUUGAGAUGUCACCAAUUUAUAUACUUGCUUGCCAGGAAUAUAUAUUUACUAAUCGUUGCCACAGCCCACAACAUUGCUGCUAAGUUGCCGGUUUUUAUGACACACUACUAAAUCAUUUUUGUAUGUGUACUGACUGACAUGGAACAAUAACUUUGUUUUCAGACAGUAGAGAGAGAGGGUGCUGAGUUGAUGUUGGUUUUUUGACCGGCUGAGUUGAUGUUGGUGUGUGGCUGCUGAUGGGAAGCCAUGCAAUUUUUGGGUUGGGAGCAAAGCACUGCCUUACCUAUCAUGUAUAUCCAGUAUUCAGAAGCUUGUUUGUUGAUCCUACAUUUUUCUAGUUUUUGAUGCGCAACUCUUGUGUUGAGUGAUCCCUGUGUUUGACUGAUAGUAGCACAGUCCGUGAUUGUUUGGUUUCUGGUUCUAGUACUAGAAGUACCUAACUGAUGUGCGUAUUUUCA